rnacentral:rRNA from 1 species
UACGUAGGAUGCAAGCGUUGUCCGGAAUUAUUGGGCGUAAAGAGCGCGCAGGCGGUAUGACAAGUCAGAUGUGAAAGAGGCCGGCUUAACCGGCAAGGGUCAUUUGAAACUGUCAGACUAGAGUGCAGCAGAGGAUAGUGGAAUUCCCGGUGUAGUGGUGAAAUGCGUAGAUAUCGGGAGGAACACCAGUGGCGAAGGCGACUAUCUGGGCUGCAACUGACGCUGAGGCGCGAAAGCGUGGGGGAGCAAACAGG